CCCUUAGAUGUUCUGGGCUGCACGCGCGCUACACUGAUGCAUCCAGCGAGUUGUAACCUUGCUUGGUAAAGUUUGGUAAUCUGAGGCUAAUGUGCAUCGUGAUGGGAAUAGAGUUUUGCAACUAUUAGUCUUGAACGAGGAAUUCCUCGUAAGCACGAGUCAUCAGCUUGUGCUGAUUACGUCCCUGCCCUUUGUACACACCGCCCGUCGCACCUACCGAUUGAAUGGUCCGGUGAAGCCUCCGGAUUGCGCGCGCCUCCGGGCCGCACGAGAAGUUGGCUAAACCUUACCAUUUAGAGGAAGGUGAAGUCGUAACA
rnacentral:rRNA from 1 species